rnacentral:rRNA from 1 species
UAUGAGACAUUCAAUGUCGGUCCCCAGUUGCUGAGCCGCACGAUGGGAAGGGUCGGUUUUUUUCUUUUGGGUUUAAGAGCCAGAGGAGGGCAAAGAAAAAGUGACAAGGAACGGACUAGGUAUCUAAGUAGGUGUAAGUAACGAUCUAGGACGGUUCCCUCCUCCUACCCUACUCUUCUGCCUAAACGGCGCCUCACGCCACCGACGUACGAGAGCCGCUGCCGUCCAGGAGGUCGAGCUGGUGUGCACGGACGACGAGCGGCGGCGGCAGUUAACCUACCAGCACCUCAACCCGGGGAAACUUGGACUCGCCAGCCAGAGGAGGUCUCUCAGGUACCCACCUCCGUGCAACACCCGAACGAUGACGACAGUCGAAGGUGGAUACAUUACACGAUGUUGAAACGUAGUAAUGAUGAAAGACGUGUGGCCGACUAAGUAGUGUCCCUUAACUUCGGGUUGAAACUGAUAACAGAGAAGUUGUGUAGGCAUAGUUAAUAUACCUUAAAGCAUAUUGUUUUCACAGUCCUUUAUCAUUAAACGUAACCGAACACUAACCAACUAAAUGGAAACACCUCUCAGGUGUCCACCUCCGCUCAACUCCCGAAGGAUUAACCAUGACGAUAGUCCAAGGUGGAUAUUCGGUACUUUAACUCCAUACGUCUUCUACUUCUUUGGACUCUUGACUACUAGGUUUCUUCACAGCCUCGAGCUCGUAGUGUAUCGGCAGUUGAUACCACCGAACAUCCGUCUACACAGAGUCUGGCUUCAACAACGGCGACCUGGCACCAAUGUACGUAGGAUCUAACCUCCGUCGCCACGUCCCUCUAUACGUACACGUUCCUUUUCUUCACCCGCUUCCAGUUUCUUCGUUAGAUACGGAGGGAUAGCGACCCAGGACGAGGAGUUAUACAGUGGAAUCAGUACCGACGGAAUAGGGAGUACGACGACUAAACUUGGACGGGAUGAGGAGAGGAUCCGAUGAGCUCCCGAAGUCGCGCACGGAACGGCUACUGUCCCUUCCUUCUUAGUCUUCACUGCCGAUCUCGCGAUCCUUUAACUUUUGGUAUCGUUAACUAGAAGAGAUAUUUUGCACACACCGUUCCCUGCACCUUGAACUAAGUCCCUUCUUCUCUACCUGGUGCACUCUCUUCUCUGGUCGAAACUAGGAAAUAGCCUGUCUGUUAAAAAAAAAACGAUUAACGGAUCAGGUAUAACAGGUACAUAACCUUCGUACAUUUGCACACCGAUGACCUCAAACAUCCGUUUGGACGAUAUAACGAAAACCUAUACACAUUCCCGAAACAAAAAAUAAG